UAACUGAAUUUUAUAAAGCUGAUCGAUAUCUUGGUAAAAUAUUCAUUUUUAAACUAGCGGGCAGCGAAAUCUUUGCUUUGUGCUAAAGUCAACAGUAGCACAGUUUCAGCUCCAAUAAAUGCCGGGAUGCUUCCAGCUCCCGCAGAGCCGGGGCGCGGCGGGCUGGGCCGGCGGCCGGGGCGCAGGAAAAUAAAUGUAGCAAGGAACGGAGAUUUCCUCCCGCUGCCAGCUAAGCGAUGCUUGAUAAAGGGUCCGAACGCGGAGCGCGGUGCUGGAUAAAUGACUCGGUGUAUUUAACAAAGAGACGAGCGAAAACGACCCAACAAAUAAACAAGAAAGUAAUCGGGACUGACACACAGAAGCAAGAGGAAGCGGGCCGGGUCGCAGGAACUGGGCUCCUGUGGGUGCUGCUCCACAAGUGGACCCUUCGCUCUCAGGCGGUGUAAACGCGGGGACACCCGCCCCUUGGCACAGCUGGUCCCGCGCUUCGUUGGGGCUGCAGUAAUGCAGGUACCAGCACCCGCGGCCCUUUUUGGGAUUUCCUCGGGUGGGCGAUUGCCUCGGCGCGAUGCUCGCUCAGCUGCUCUCUCUGAGCCCAACCGACCUGGGCAAAACCCACCUGCGUUCAGCUUCUCUUCCUUUUGAACCCCCUUGCUCACGAAGGCGACUCGCCACGGCUCUACCCUCUUUGCAGAAGGUCAUACCUGCUAUUUCUGCGCCUUAAUCUGACGAGGUACGAGCGAGGGCUCUGCCAGGUGGGCCCUGGCGAUGAUGAUGUUACAGGUGCUCUUUGGAGAUGAGCUACUUUCCCAGCGAGAAAGGCGAGAGCCUGUUUCCCGGAGUGCAACGCACGAGGUGGGAUUUGAGAAAGGAGGAUUUGGACUUUGCUGACGUUCAGAUCCAGGGCAGGAAUCAAGAGGACGCCUGAUGAAGCAAGGUCCAUUAAUUCAGGUGGCUUUCCCAAAGCCUGCUGCCGCAGCAGCCAGCCAGAGGCAGGACCAGCCAAACCUCAGCUCCGCAGAGAGCACCCAGAACGUGGUGUACGUGGGACCGGGUGCUCCUCACCCCUCGGGCCCGCCCUGGAGGACACCAAGGCCACCCUGGAGCACCCUGCCAGGCCACGGCGCGUUCCCAGUCUCCGCGGAGGGAUGUAUGCAUUUACCAGCUGCCCCAAAAGCCCCUUCUCUCCUGCUUCUCUUGCUCCUCCCCAGUACUCAUCCAGCGUCUCGCUACUCUAAGGGGCCGGCAAGCGCUGCCGAAACCUGCCUGGCCUCACCAAGGGCUUCCCUCUCACAGGACCGGUCCCGCAGGCUGCUCACGCCGUACGGGAAGGUCAUAUCUGAAGCAUCAUCCUGCCCAGCGAUACCUCUGAGAAGGAGGAAGGCGGCUGCUCUGGGCUUUCGGCAUCGCAAGCGUGAACCUUUUUCCCCGGUGGAAACCAGGACUUAUAAUGGAGUUGCUGACACCACCUCAAUUACCGCCGCGCUACCCGCUGCCCCGUAAUGAAGGAAUUUUCCUCUUUUUGCAGUGUGAAUACUAAUUGAGACGGGCUCCCGUGCGGCGCCAGCGCAGGAGGAUGGUGCCAUCUAAAGGAACCGAAGCAAAGAAGAGCAGCAGCCGCCGCCGAGGUGGUGCGGAGGGACCCGUGGCAUCAUUUCAGCGGCUGUGAGGUUGGUCGGCAGCGGGGCCCCGGCUCAGCAGAGGCCUCCAGAGGAAGUUUCUGAUGGGCGUUUGAUGGUUUCAUGCCACCUUAAAGAUAAUGGGGGCCCUCAUUUGCAUGGGAUUUGCCUAUUCCCUACAAAGCUGAGCGUGUAGGGUGUUUUCCUCCUGGCACCUUCUCGUUUCCGUCCUGUACGUAGCUGAUACCAGGGAAAUCGAGGGUAGCGUCUGGCUGGGAUCCUCGAUCCGCGCAAAGCAGGGCCAUCCACCCCAAAGCCAAGUGGUCGUGAUCCCAGAGGACUUAGUGCAGGCCUUUGGGAUCAGGUUUUGGAAGUGCCCGUACCCGAUGUGUACAAGCUCAGCCCUGCCCCCAUAGCCUCGCUGGAGCGUCGGGGAUGGUUAUGCUAUAGGGACCGGGAACCGGGACCUCCACAGAAAACUAACCAGUUUGAGCUAACCAAGUCAACGUACGGGCACAUCUGCUGGCGCUCCGACCCAGCGUAAACCCCCGCCCCCCCGAUGCAUUCCCUUUGUCAAGAGGGCUGCAGUCAUCCAAAAAAUCCUCUUGGCAUAUGCGGCUAACAAGCCCAAACCAACCCCAGCAUUCCUAUUUUACCUUUUUUGACUCACUGCACGCUAUGAAAGGAACAUCAGUCAUGAUUUACAGAGCCGCCACAAGAACCCUGCAAGAUGGGACUGCCCGCCGAAUUCCAGGUACGUGAAGAAGGCUGACACUUUUGUUUCGGCAAUUAAUUAAUUUUCACGGGGCUUUCACUUUUACAACCUCUUUUUCCACUUCCCGGGUUGCUCAACUCGAAAUCAAUAAGACCACCCCGUGAUAAAGACGUCAUGCUGAAUGUAUAUGUCAUUAAUCACUCGAGUUACCUUUCAACCCAGCGCGUUUCCUUUGUUGGAGCCUUCCCUCGAGGUACUGGAAAAACAAACAGACACAUUUAUAACAACCCCUCAGGGCUAAGUCAACAGUUGCAUUCACCUCCUUAAUCAACAUCUUGGGCUUAACCAAGAUCAUCUCUCAAGCUCCUCAAAGAGCUACAAAGCAGUAACUGUACUUUCCCAGUACAGAUAAUUGGGAUUUUACAGGGCAUGAUGAUAGACUUCAUUGAAAAAGUUAUCCUAACAUCGCUGCUCGCUGCUGCGAGUCCGAAAGUCAUUGCCCAAACCAAAGCGGGCGUUCGAGAUACCCGAUGGCAUCGUGAAGACGCGCUCGGGCAUGUUUUCCAAACCAUUAAUAUUUGGCUGUGGUGCAAUGGAAGAUGAAAGACCUGGAGUCCUUCGUUUCCAACCACCCAAACCCGCCACGCCUCGGCCCUAUUUUUACGCGUCUCUUGUGAAAGAGCGAUGCGAAGGUCAACAAGUCAAGAGCCGGAGCACCCGGGACCAUCAGAGUUACGGCCGUCCGCCUCGGCCCCCCCUGGGCACGGGGCUCCCUGCUUGCAGGACCCAGCACCACCUUGUGCAUUCUCGGUCAACGAGGACCAGGAUGGACCUGCCCUGGGGUCCAUCUCACCCGCAGUCCUUCACCCAGCCGCCUCCUCUCCUCUUCUGAAGCUCUCCACAGCCCAUGGGGAUCGACAGACCCUGCGCUGAAGUGUUCAAAAUAUUUUUGAAUGAAAGUGUCAGUUCGAGAUCCUUGGCAUAAAACAUACCUAACAAAGCCUAUUUGCAAAGUAAAUUUACUCUGGAUUUCCGAUACCUAGGAAAGUUUUUUCUAUUAUAUUUAUUUAAAAUUACAACAGUUUACAUUAGAAACAAGCUCAAACAAUUAAGGUAAAAGAUAAAUAACUGCAUACAGUUUAAUUUUACAAAAUGCAAACAUACAUCUUUCGUUGUUCCAUUAUCCGAGUAUUAAGUGCAAUAUAAUUGUCCGAUGCAUUUUCGCUGACUUAAAUGCUAUGAAAUUAAACGGGCCUGAC